UCACAGGCCCGUUAGCGGUGAGGAGCUGCCGGCUGAGCGCGCCCCCUGCCGGGCCCGCCCCGCCCGCUGCUAUUGUGCCGGUCCCGCCCCCGGGGCGACCCCCUGGGGUCCCAGCCUGGCCGCCCUCCGGUCCUAGUGCCCGGGGUCCGGGUCGGGCCGCCCCACGCUCAGCGCUGUCGCCACGGCAUCCGGCUCACCGGUGAGCGCAAACCCGACCCUAACCCGGCAGCGAGGGAAGGCCGAAAGCACGUCGCCACCGCAACGGGCAGCCGUCGCGCUGUGAGCGGAGGGGUCGGGAUUGAAGAGCGGAGCAGGGGCUGAGUCAAACUCCAGUUUGAGUUACCAUCCAAUGUGGAUUUUUUUCAGAGAGGUAUGAGCAAGGUCUGUGCUGUCAAAGAGAGAACACUGGGCUAGAUGGAUCUUUGGUCUAACGUGAGUUUAACAUCUUUGUCAGUGACAUGGCCAGUAGGAUUGAGCACCCUGAGCAAGUUUGCUGACAACCCUGAGCUGUGUGGUGCAGUUGACACACUGGAGGGAAAGGAUGGGAUCCAGAGGGACCUGGACAGGCUGGAGAGGUGGGACCAUGUGAACCUCAAGGAGUUCAACAAGGCCAAUUGCAAGGUCCUGCCUCUGGGUCAGGGCAAUCCCAAGCACCAACACAGGCUUUGGGAGAGGGGCUGGAGCAGCCCUGGGGAGAAGGCCUUGUGGUGUUGGAUGAUGAGAAGCUCCUCAUGACCCUGCUUCAGGGUGCACUUGAGCCCAGACAC